AUGUUUUUUGAGGUUUCUCCCCCUGCCAUCGAGCGGGAGAGAACGAGUGGGUUUGAGGGAACCCGCCUGGCCGUUUUUCGUGGGACCCGGGGAGGUCGCAUAGGAGCGAGCGGGCGAGAGGAGGUCCGGCAUCGCUCUCCACCAGGGUCCCCCUUCGACCCGGGGCUCGUGAGAGGGGGGAGGAAGCACACGUCCGCCGAGACUGUGUCUGCGGAGAAGAGGGCGACGGAAACGUUCUUGGAUUAUUUUUCUAGGCUGUCCAAGAUCCUAGAGAUUCCCAAAAGUGUUCACGUCACGGCUGCUGAGCCAGCACCACAGUCCAGGAGGGUCGCCAACCCAGCGCCACAGCACAAGAUGGCCGCCAGCCCUGCGCCACAGCACAAGAUGGCCGCCAGCCCAGCGCCACAGCACAAGAUGGCCGCCAGCCCAGCGCCACAGCACAAGAUGGCCGCGGAGACAUUGUUGAGUUACUUUUCUAGGAUGUGCCAGAUCCCGGAGAUUCCCAGGAGUGUUCACAUCACGGCCGCUGAGCCAGCGCCAAUGCCCAGGAUGGCCACCAGUUCAGCACCACAGCGCAAGAUGGCCGCCAGCCCAGCGCCAUUGCACAGGAUGGCUGCCAGCUCAGCGUGCCCAGCACCACAGCACGGGAUGGCCGCCGGCCCAGCACCACAGCACAAGAUGGUUGACUCAACGCCUGAGUCUUCCGUCAAGGAGCCACCGGCACGCCAUCAUAGAGGCCGCAGGAGGAGGAGACAGGCGUCAGCCGUUCCUCGAAGCCCGGAGGACGUUCCCGAGCAGGCCGCUGCCGUCCAGGAGGACGUUCCCGAGCGGGCCGCUGCCGUCCAGGAGGACGUUCCCGAGCGGGCCGCUGCCGUCCAGGAGGACGUUCCCGAGCGGGCCGCUGCCGUCCAGGUGGACGUGCCCGAGGUUCCCGAGGCGGGGCUCGAGGUGGUUCUGGAUGCCGAGGCGGUGCCCGAGGCUGUGCCCGAUGCCGAGGCUGUGUCCGAGGCCGAGGCGGUGCCUGAUGCCGAGGCGGUGCCCGAGGCGGUGCCUGAUGCGGUGGCCGAGGCGGUUCCCGAUGCAAUGUCCGAUGCCGAGGCGGUGCCCGAUGCCGAGGCGGUGCCCGAGGCGAUGGCCGAGGCGGUGGUCGAGGCAGAGGCGGUUCCCGAUGCGAUGCCCGAGGCCGAGGCGGUGGCCGAGGCAGAGGCGGUUCCCGAUGCCGAGGCGGUGCACGAGGCCGAGGCGGUGCCCGAUGCCGAGGCGGUGCCCGAGGCCAGGGCGGUGCCCGAGGCGGUCCCCGAUGCCGAGGCGGUCCCCGAUGCAAUGCCCGAUGCCGAGGCGGUGCCCGAUGCGGUGCCAGAGACGGUGCCAGAGACGGUUCCCGAUGUAAUGCCCGAGACCGAGGCUGUUCCGGAGGUCGAGGCGGUGCCCGAUGUCGUUCCUGAUGCCGUUCCCAAUGCCGUGACCGGGCCAUCGCCACAGCCUGCUCCUUACUGGCUCCCCGAUUGGCAGGUUCCGUUCGGGCCACUCAAAUGGCGAAUUCCUCCCUGGCCGUCUGCACAACGAGAAUGGACUGAUCCACCGUGGCCACCGGAACUGCCUGGUCCCUCGUGGUCCCCUGAACUUUCGGGUCCACCGUGGCCACCUGAACUGCCUGGUCCCUCGUGGUCCCCUGAACUUUCGGGUCCACCAUGGCCCCCUGAACUGACCAAGCCACCUGGGUUACCAGAACUUUCGGGUCCACCAUGGCCCCCUGAUCUGACCAAGCCACCUGGGCUACCAGGGGAGCCAUCGCUGCCGGUCCCAGUUCCCCUACACGGGCCUGGCCCGCCAUCCCUCCCCCUGUUCUGCCUCCACCAGUCCACCUCCCUCCUGGUCUCUUUGUUUUGUGUUUAUUUGGUUCUGAGGAGCAUCUGGAAGCUGCUCCUUAGAGGGGGGGUAGUGUCACGGUGUCUGUUCUGUGUCUCCCUGGGUGGCCACUAGAGGUCUCACUUCCCCUUAUUGUCAUCUUCGUCAGAACUUCAUUUCCCACUAGCCUUAGCUGCUCAUCACUGUUCAUUGUAUUCAGCUGUCACCACUUACCUUGUUUGCACCUGUCUUUAAAUACCCUGGUUGUUCUGUCUUUGUUACGGAGUCCUUGUUGAAUGUCACCCUGCGUUUUCCUGGUUCCCUGGUUUCUCGUGUUUUUGUAUGUUGUUUAUGUUUUUUUGUUUUGGACGGAUUACCUGGAUGUUGACCUUUGCCUGGCUAAGUUAUGAUUUUUGGAUUGCCUCAAUAAACAUACUGCAAUUGGAUCUACCUGUCUGUGUGCGGUUCGUGACAGAAUGAGAAUGUGUUUAGAGUUUUGCAAAAAGAGUGCAUGAGAUUUGCAAAUAGAGCCUAACUGCCUGAACAUGUUUAAGGUUUAGCAGAAAGAGUGCUUUAUUCAACAAAUUGCUUCAGAGAAAACUGUAAUAGAGACCAUCUGGUUUUCGUGAUCCUGGUUCACAUGCCUCAAUCCAUGCAGGGCUUUUCAGAAAGUCAGUAUGACAGUAUGAGAUUAAUAAACAAUGUUCUAUUCUAUUAAAAUAAAUAUGCUGUAAUCGUGUGAAUACAUAAUGUGCGCACUUUUGAAGUAAAAGCUUGUAUGUUGUCUAGCGAAGCUCUGAUCAAAAUUAAAUGGAAGCAAACAUGAUUGAAUAUGUGCAGGUUUGUGCUCAUUAUUAUAUUCAAAAUAUCAUUAACUACCGAUUGAUU
ensembl:lncRNA